rnacentral:rRNA from 1 species
UGCCAGCCGCCGCGGUAAUACGGAGGGUGCAAGCGUUAUCCGGAUUCAUUGGGUUUAAAGGGUGCGCAGGCGGAUACUUAAGUCAGUGGUGAAAUCCCGGGGCUCAACCCCGGAACUGCCAUUGAUACUGAAUAUCUGGAAUACGGUUGAAGUGGGCGGAAUGUAGCAUGUAGCGGUGAAAUGCAUAGAGAUGCUACAGAACACCGAUCGCGAAGGCAGCUCACUAAGCCGAUAUUGACGCUCAGGCACGAAAGCGUGGGGAGCGAACAGGAUUAGAUACCCUGGUAGUCCACGCCGUAAACGAUGAUAACUCGUUGUUGGCGACACACAGUCAGCGACUAAGCGAAAGCGAUAAGUUAUCCACCUGGGGAGUACGAUCGCAAGGUUGAAACUUAAAUGAAUUGGCGG